AUGCUCGGAGGAACCGGGGCACACGGCAGGGGUCAGUCUGGGGGAGACGUGGGGGAACCACGCAGCCAAAGGCCCGGCACCACGGAGCUGCGUGGAGGGCCCCGUCCUGCCCUGGCCCUGGGGACGCGCAGCCUGAGUCACGGGCGGCAGCGCGGGGUGAGCGUGGCCGGACCUCCGCCCCGGCAGCAACAGCGACCGGGCGGCACGGGGAGCACCCAGGAAUGCGGCACCUCCCGGGGAGGGCCUGGGGCUGGGGCUGUGCCACCCGGCGGUGCUGGGGCCGUGCCACCCAGUGGUGCUGGGGCUGGGGCUGUGCCACCCAGUGGUGCUGCCACUGCCUGGCCCGGGCACGAGGCAGGAUGGGGCUGGCAGAGCCAAGGGCAGAGCCCCAGCACGGCACAUCCCCGACAGCCUCGGUUUUGGGCACGUGGGCACGCACACGGUGAGGGCUGCUCCACCAGGCUGCUCGCAGCCCCAUGCUCACUGGGACCCCGGGGACAGCAGCACCGGGUGGCCGAGCUGUGGCCGGUCCCGGGAUCCCAUGGACGGGAGCGGGAGGCGAGAGGCAGCUCGGGCACCGUGAUGGGGACUCAGGCAAGGACCGGUGCCCAGGCAGAGCCCCUGCCCCCACGCAGCCUCCAGCUCCCUGCUCUGUGCCCCGGCUGCCCCACCGAGGUGUGGGGCUGGUGGCCACUGUCCCUCCUGGGCCAGGCUCAGUCCCCAGACACGGAUGCAGGCUGUGGGGCUGUGGACCAUGUCCGGUCACAGGACGUCCCUCGGGAGCCAGCGAUUGUUCCCGGUGGCAGAACAAUGCCCGGAGAGCUGCCAGGGCACCACGGGCCGCUCCACACCGCCUGGCCUGGGAGCCACCUCCAGCUGCCUCACAGUGGGGUCCCCCCGGCCCCCGCUGCCCCCCUGGCCCUGUCCUGUCCCCCAGCCACCCUCACGGCUGUGCCGGUGCCCGUGGGUGCUAUGGGUGCUGCAGCACAGCUCGGCUCAGCUCGGCACGGCACAGCCCAGCCCCUGGGGCCGCUCAGAGCCCCCUGCCAAGCACCGUGGGCACGCAGCUGCGCCGUGGUCCCAGCUCUGAGCCUCGUCCAGCAGCACCGGCACAGGAGGGAGGGGACGGGGGGGUCACGCUCAGAUGGAGCUGGGGCAGGGACGGGGUCACGGGGACCAACCUCCGUCCCGGAAAGGAUUUAA
rnacentral:lncRNA from 1 species